UUGCGUGAUGUUUGCGUGAUGUUUGCGUGAUGUUUGCGUGAUGUUUGCGUGAUGUUUGCGUGAUGUUUGCGUGAUGUUUGCGUGAUGUUUGCGUGAUGUUUGCGUGAUGUUUGCGUGAUGUUUGCGUGAUGUUUGGCUUUGUGUGUUUUUAAACUGCUUGUGUUCAUUGUAAUCCCUAUCAACAAGUUAAGAACACCAACUGGCUGUGCUCAACAGUGUUGGGAAAAUGUUUUUGCCACGACCUUUUGCCUACAGAAUGGACUCAUUUUCCCUGAGGUUGCCUUAACCGCAUGAUCGACCUGGCUAUGACCCAAGAACUGUUGUACCUGGCCAUAGCGGCCCUUCAAAGCUCCCUGGUCCUGUCGCAUCUGGGAGUUGUGGUGUUGUCCAAGUGUUCAGCGUUCUGAUCUGAACUCUUAUAAAAGGAUUUGUAAGACUGCUGCUUCCCCCUUCAUUCCUCAGACUCUGAACAGGCUGGGUGUGUUCCUUCUGGAGUACCUUACCCUAGUAUACUUCCACUACCUCACCUUUCAGUCUCCAAGUAAGUUCUAGGCAGGGCUUCUCUCAGAUUGAAUGUCUGAAGACCAACGGUUCCCACUUCCUGAGGGUGCAGUGGCGGCAGGUUCUAUUCCAGCCCCACUCCCUGCUACAGCAGCCCCACCCUGAGUUGUUAGCCCCGAGCCUAGCCAAGAAGGGCUUGAGGCUAAUUAUGGUGAGCUGUUCAUCACUGAAGAUCCCUGCUGGCACCAGCCAUCUCAGAACCUGCUAUGAGCAUGGGAAUGACCAAUGUAACUCGGCCAGCUUCAUCUGGUACCAUCCUACUGUCACAUACAAACAGCUGUUUCCUGAACCCAGUGAUACCAAGGUAAAGAGGACUCUAGCUCUGCCAAGGGUCAGAUUGGCUCCAGUCCUUCCCAGCAGAGCCAGGGAGUAACUAUGGUUUUCAUGACAGUACCGUCAUGAAACCACAGGUUGUAGCUGGUUCCAGUUCUUCUCAGGUCAUCUCCAGUUCUGACCCUCGGAACCUUUGACAGGAUGUUCUAGACCCGUGGUCCCCUGGCUUAAUCAGUGCUCUCUGGAAUGAGUCAGAACACCAUCCAUCGACACUAACCUGCAUUCCUAUGUUUUCAUGACUUAAUAAAUGAUACAAUGUUUAUUUUGUCUAUUGACUAAAGAACUGAUUGGCUUUCUACAGUUUUUAAUGUA